CAGUAGCCGCGGUAAAACGUAGGGUGCAAGCGUUAAUCGGAAUUACUGGGCGUAAAGCGUGCGCAGGCGGUUAUGUAAGACAGUUGUGAAAUCCCCGGGCUCAACCUGGGAACUGCAUCUGUGACUGCAUAGCUAGAGUACGGUAGAGGGGGAUGGAAUUCCGCGUGUAGCAGUGAAAUGCGUAGAUAUGCGGAGGAACACCGAUGGCGAAGGCAAUCCCCUGGACCUGUACUGACGCUCAUGCACGAAAGCGUGGGGAGCAAACAGGAUUAGAUACCCGGGUAGUCCCUGUCUCUUAUAC
rnacentral:rRNA from 1 species